AGCUCCAAUAGCGUAUAUUAUUGAUGUUGCAGUUGAAACGUUCGUAGUCGAACUUUAUCUGCUUAGGUGUUGUUUAUCUAAGAUAAUCAAUACUCUUCAGUAGAGAUUGUGCAAUUGUUAUUGUGUUUCACAGUGGCUUUUGCAUCUUACUUUGAGUGAAUCGGCGUGUUCCACGCAGGCAUGUGCCUUGAACGAUUUACCAUAGCAUAAUCAGAGUAUGAGAAUACUCCUUUGUUGGUUCGGGGGUAUUUUCGAUACUGAUAAGAACGGUUGAGGGCAUUCGUAUUCAACUGCCAGAGGUGAAAUUCUUUGAUUAGUUGAGGACGAACUAUUGCGAAAGCAUCUGCCAAGGACGUUUCUU
rnacentral:rRNA from 1 species